rnacentral:misc_RNA from 1 species
UCAGCAAGCUUGAUCAAGUGAAUCAGGUUUGUAACAACUUGGGACAGCUCAGGGGUUUCUGCUGCCACCAUGGCCAUAUCUGUAUUGAAUAAUUCAGACUAUUUGCUAAAAGCAUAUCCUCUGACAAUCUAUUANUCUCACCUUUAAAACUAUUAAGUUUUAAAGGUUCUUCUAUCCUGAAAAUCGUUGUGGAAAGGUGAGACAUUAUAUAAGGAAAAAAAAAAAAAAACUAUCGACAUUUUGUUCUCAUAGGCUGUGUUUUUGGCUUAUAUUAAUUCUGGCUGGAGUUUCAUCUUAGAAUAACUGAUCCCUGCAAUCCACCACACAUUUUUUCUUUUUAUGGUUUGUUGCUGAAGAUAUCUUACCUGUUUAU